rnacentral:rRNA from 1 species
UACGUAGGGUGCGAGCGUUGUCCGGAAUUACUGGGCGUAAAGAGCUCGUAGGCGGUUUGUUGCGUCGGCCGUGAAAACCUGCAGCUUAACUGUGGGCCUGCGGUCGAUACGGGCAGACUUGAGUUCGGUAGGGGAGACUGGAAUUCCUGGUGUAGCGGUGAAAUGCGCAGAUAUCAGGAGGAACACCGGUGGCGAAGGCGGGUCUCUGGGCCGAUACUGACGCUGAGGAGCGAAAGCGUGGGGAGCGAACAGG